rnacentral:rRNA from 1 species
GGAUUAGUGGCGAACGGGUGAGUAACACGUGGGCAAUCUGCCCUUCACUCUGGGACAAGCCCUGGAAACGGGGUCUAAUACCGGAUACGACCUGGGAAGGCAUCUUCUCGGGUGGAAAGCUCCGGCGGUGAAGGAUGAGCCCGCGGCCUAUCAGCUUGUUGGUGAGGUAACGGCUCACCAAGGCGACGACGGGUAGCCGGCCUGAGAGGGCGACCGGCCACACUGGGACUGAGACACGGCCCAGACUCCUACGGGAGGCAGCAGUGGGGAAUAUUGCACAAUGGGCGAAAGCCUGAUGCAGCGACGCCGCGUGAGGGAUGACGGCCUUCGGGUUGUAAACCUCUUUCAGCAGGGAAGAAGCGAAAGUGACGGUACCUGCAGAAGAAGCGCCGGCUAACUACGUGCCAGCAGCCGCGGUAAUACGUAGGGCGCAAGCGUUGUCCGGAAUUAUUGGGCGUAAAGAGCUCGUAGGCGGCUUGUCACGUCGGGUGUGAAAGCCCGGGGCUUAACCCCGGGUCUGCAUCCGAUACGGGCAGGCUAGAGUGUGGUAGGGGAGAUCGGAAUUCCUGGUGUAGCGGUGAAAUGCGCAGAUAUCAGGAGGAACACCGGUGGCGAAGGCGGAUCUCUGGGCCAUUACUGACGCUGAGGAGCGAAAGCGUGGGGAGCGAACAGGAUUAGAUACCCUGGUAGUCCACGCCGU